UUAAAUAGUACCUGAGAGCUGCCCUUCUGAGACCUUUUGAAAUUUGAGAUUGUGUGUGAGAUCUCAGGAGAAGGUAGUAGAAUAUAUCUCCAUCCUUCUCAAUGUGUAACCCUGAGAAUAUGGCCUGACCUCUAAACAUUUCUGUGUGAAAAGAUGUACAUUGGGGAUAGCAGUGACAGCUUCAGAUGAAAACUCUAUAGUACAUCAGCACUGGAGGAUAGUCUCAUCACCAAGAUUAGUGAAAUUACCUUUCCUGGGAACCAGAGAGGACCUCUGUGAGCUCUACCCUCUGAGAGAACAAGGAACUCUGGUUCUUCCCUGACAGGUCACACCUGUGAAACAUGGCUGGACAAUGACACUCAAGUCCAGAGUCCUUACCCACAUAUUUAUCAUUUCAGAUCCAUCUGUCUCUGAAAGACUUUCUCCUCCAUUGAAUUGCAUGAACAUACCCUAGGAUGUGUGGUAUUGCAACUUGGAC
rnacentral:lncRNA from 1 species